rnacentral:rRNA from 1 species
CACGUAGGGCGCAAGCGUUGUCCGGAAUUAUUGGGCGUAAAGAGCUCGUAGGCGGUCUGUUGCGUCGCUGUGAAAACUCGGGCUUAACCCCGAGCCUGCAGUGAUACGGGCAGACUAGAGGUAGGUAGGGGAGAAUGGAAUUCCCGGUGUAGCGGUGAAAUGCGCGAUAUCGGAGGAACACCGUGGCGAAGGCGGUCACUCGGCGUC